UACGAAGGGUCCAAGCGUUAUCCGGAUUUAUUGGGUUUAAAGGGUGCGUAGGCGGGUUGUUAAGUCAGUGGUGAAAUCUUGCAGCUUAACUGUAAAAUUGCCAUUGAUACUGACGAUCUUGAGUACACUUGAAGUGGGCGGAAUAUGUCAUGUAGAGGUGAAAUUCUUAGAGAUGACAUAGAACACCGAUUGCGAAGGCAGCUCACUAAACUUGUAACUGACGCUGAGGCACGAAAGCGUGGGGAUCAAACAGGAGU
rnacentral:rRNA from 1 species